AUACCAUGAGAAAGGGAAUACAAAUGUUGUGUCUGAUCAAAUUUUAACACAUUCUUAAAAAAAAAACACAAGAUCUAGAGGUUCAGGUAUUUUAAAACCUUUGAAUUCAAGAUUUCAUACCAUAAGUCAUUUUUCCCUGCAGGAAAUCUUGACCCACAUUCAAACAAGCCCCCAAACAGCACCAAUUAUUAUACAUCAAGUGCAUGGAGAUCUUUGAGUAUGGCUUCAUUCAUCCCUUUGCUAUGCAUACUUGAGCAGAUACAGGAAGGAGAGUUUUGAUUAAAAUUAUGUUAGGGUCUAUUGUGCCUAAAUAAAGGAUACUUUAGUUUCUAUAAUCUCCAAGGAUAUAUAACAAUAGAGAUGGUGAAGCAAUGCUGUGCUGCAGUCUUAUCUCUUUGGGCUUUAUCAGACAAGGCUGGAAUAUCGCAAUUAUCACAGAACAAUAUUGUCUUUGACUUGUAUGUUUCACAUGAUGCCAUGUUUCUCUUGUUCUUAACAUCAAUACUUUUAGGAAAUUUAUAAUGGAAGAAUAAACAUGUAGUUUUAUAUUUUCUCUGCUGUUGAAUGUAUAUAUAUAUAUAUAAAGAGAGAGAGAGAGAGAGAUCCAGACAGCGAGACAGAGAGAGAGGGCGGGGGAGUCUUUUGAAACAAUUAUAAACAAUGAAAAGAGCAGGAGAAAAACAAGGCUUCUUGGAUUGUAAUGGGAGCUGUAGCUCUGCAAAUCAGAAAGCUGCUGUCUUGGAGAGAACUGUCUUCGCUCUGGUUGUAAGUGUUCUAUUAAAAGAAACAACAAAGUAUGAAGUCUUCCUGUAUCUGGUCUCCUUGCUUGCUCCUUAAGGGCUACUCAAACUCUGCCUUUGUUGUAAAAUGAAGCAGUCUACCUCCAUGGGAAAGCAAGAAGAAACAACGUAAACACAGAGCUAAAUUUCACUGGCUUCUUGUAACAUUCUUUCUAUAAUCCAAGAUGCUAUUAUUAUCUCAUAAAGCUAUAAUGUUGAAACAUAGGCCUGGAAAAAUAUUUAAAAUAUCCAGAUGCCUAUUUUGUAUUGUUAUGAUUUUUUCCCCUAGCAGUAGUUAUCUCCCCCAGGAGAAGCCUUCCAGCACUGCUAUGAGCAUUGGAAACAACACCUCCGUCGCUGUGUAGCUGCCCAAGAGAACUACUUUGAAAGGAAUAAACUUGAUUUGGACACAGAAUAAAAUUCACGGUUAAAAGAAAAUCAGUCUCAUUACUUUUCUAUUGUAUCUUGCAUCUCCAUAUUAGGCCUCUUUUAAAAAUGUACAGUAAUUGUGACAGUGUGAAA